GCAAGGACAUGUGGAGCGCUUAGAAGUGAGAAUGCCGGUGUGAGUAGCGAAAGACGGGUGAGAAUCCCGUCCACCGAUUGACUAAGGUUUCCAGAGGAAGGCUCGUCCGCUCUGGGUUAGUCGGGUCCUAAGCUGAGGCCGACAGGCGUAGGCGAUGGAUAACAGGUUGAUAUUCCUGUACCACCUAGCAUCGUUUUAAUCGAUGGGGGGACGCAGUAGGAUAGGCGAAGCGUACGAUUGGAUUGUACGUCUAAGCAGUGAGAUUGAGUGUUAGGCAAAUCCGGCACUCUUAAGAUUGAGCUGUGAUGGGGAGAGGAAAUUGUUUCCUCGAGUCGUUGAUUUCACACUGCCGAGAAAAGCCUCUAGAUAGAUAAUAGGUGCCCGUACCGCAAACCGACACAGGUAGUCAAGAUGAGAAUUCUAAGGUGAGCGAGCGAACUCUCGUUAAGGAACUCGGCAAAAUGACCCCGUAACUUCGGGAGAAGGGGUGCUCUUUAGGGUGCAAGCCCAGAAGAGCCGCAGUGAAUAGGCCCAAGCGACUGUUUAUCAAAAACACAGGUCUCUGCUAAACCGUAAGGUGAUGUAUAGGGGCUGACGCCUGCCCGGUGCUGGAAGGUUAAGAGGAGU
rnacentral:rRNA from 1 species